UGGGGGGCUGCCCAGGACGCUCCCCAGGACGGCCCAGAGCCGCCGCGUUCUGGCGCUUGGGAAGCCUCUGGCUUUCUGUACCGAAGGAGCCGCCGCUGCUUUCCUCCGCUCCGGGCCGUGCUGGCGGUGUACCGAGGGGCCGGGCCAUGGGCAGCCCGCCGCUCCUCCUCCUGGCACUGGGAGGGGAGCAUCCGUCGCUGCGGCUUGUUGGCCGUGGGGUUGUUAAACCAAGGGGCACCGCUCCUGGCGGAACGCCUGGAGGAGCGGGGCAGGUGCGAAAUAACCGGCGAGCCUGGGUCUUUCUGGAAGACGGGAGAGUGGGAGAGCGGCAAAUCUUAGCCUUCCUAUAUCCCUCUUCAGUUGCUAUUCCAAUCAGAACAGCGGAGCUUGAACUCUUCCGCACACACUGUGUUGCUCAGCAGAUCUCUAAAAAGGCCCCAUCGGUGUCUGUAGUGCUGCAUCCCCUCCUGCCGAAAGUUCCCGGUGCAUCGUCCUCAGUCACAGACAUGCAACAUUCCAAAGGCUUCUCUGUAACGACGUUUAGAAGUAGUGUGUGUAACUUGGUUUCUAGGAAACUAAUUACCUCAAUUUGAACAUUCAGCUUUUUCUAUAUGCAACUUAAUUGCUUUUAAUUGUGCGUUUGCGUGCUACAGACAGUGAAUGCAAGGGAGGAAAUGAAGUGUCAAACAUUGUUUCCACUGCGAUGUAGCUGGAUAUCCAAUCAUUUGAAAUAAAUCAACCCGGUAGCUGGUGUGGGCUCUAACAACAUCCCUGCCCUUCCCCAGCUCCUGCCCUGCUGCUGCUGAAGCCUGUCCUGUGUGCAGGAAUCUGUGUCAUCACCUUGGCAGAAGCCCAUCCUCUUCUGCAAAGUGGAAAAACAAUUAAAAGCAUUAAUUACCAAAUCAGUGCCAACUGUAGCAGACUCCAGAAUAAAGUCUCUGGGAAGUCAAAAAGGGGAGCUCAGUUUUUAACAGAACUUGCCCCUCUGUGCAGGAUAUCUUCAACAGAUGGUGAGGAAUACACCAUUUAUAGUUGUAUACGAGGGCGACUGAUAGAAGUGAAUGAAAACAUUCUUAGCAAUCCCACUAUUCUGCAAGAAAAGCCAUCAACUGAGGGAUACAUUGCAGUGGUUCUACCCAAAUUCGAAGAAAGCAAGAGUAUAACUCAAGGACUUCUGACGCAGAAGGAGUACGAGGAAGUUUUGUUGAAACGUCUUAAUUCUUCUUCAUGAAAUUAACGAUACAAUUAUCACCUGUAUUUGAUACUAAAUAAGCUACUUUUAUUGUACGCUGUAACUUUCAUGGUAUUGAAACGCCUAGUGCCUGUGUAUAGAAGUGGAACUUAAAUGCUUGAUUCAUACAAGAAUAAACCAGUUCAAAUAGUUUGUAUAUUAAGA